UUGUUGAUUCCAUUGAAGUUUGUCUUUACAAAUCAAACAUUGUCGUAGUAUGUGAAGUCUUGCUUGAAAAUGCUACAGGCACUUGGCUGUGGAAGGUAGAAUAGAAAUUGCAACAACAAAAUUUUAACUCUAAUAGAAUACUAACUAAAUUCUAAUUAGAUCAUAAAAAUGCUAAGCAAGCUUUAAUCAAAUUCAAAGAAACCUCAAAAAAAUUACAAAAAAAUAAUAAAAAAUCUUAAAAAAAUAUUAGAAUGAUUACAAAUAUAUCUCAAAUAUAUCUCAAUUUAAUCUUAAUUUAAUCCUAAUUAAAGUCCUAUUAGACUUCAUUCAAAUUUUAGGCCAAAAACUGACUAAAUUUUAAAUCUUAAUCAAAUCCUAAUAAAAUCCUAAAUCCUAAAUCAAAUCUUAAUCAAAUCUUAAAUCUUAAAUCAAAUCCUAAAUCCUAAAUCCUAAACCAAAUCCCAAACUUUAAAUCAAAUCCUAACUAAAUCCUAACCAAAUCCUAAAAAAAUCCUAAAUCUUAAAUCAAACCCAAAUCUUAAAUCAAAUCCUAACCAAAUCCUAACCAAACCUUAAAUCCUAAAUCAAAUCUUAAAUCCUAAACCAAAUCCUAUCCAAAUCCUAACCUUAAAUCAAACUCUAACCAAACCCUAAUCCUAAAUAAAAUCCUAAUCAAAUCCUAACCAAACCUUAAAUCCUAAACCAAAUCCUAAAUCCUAAACCAAAUCCUAAUCAAACCUUAAAUCCUAAACCAAAUCCUAAAUCCUAAACCAAAUUCUAAACCCUAAAUCAAAUUCUAAUCAAACCUUAAAUCCUAAAUUAAAUUCUAAACCUUAAACCAAAUCCUAACCAAACCUUAAAUCCUAAACCAAAUCCUAAAUCCUAAAUUAAAUCUUAAUCAAAUCUUAAAUCUUAACUAAACCUUAAAUCCUAAACCAAAUUCUAAACUCUAAAUCAAAUCCUAACCAAAACUUAAAUCCUAAAUCAAAUCAUAAACCCUAAAUCAAAUCCUAACCAAAUCUUAAAUCCUAAAUCAAAUCCUAAAUCCUAAA
rnacentral:lncRNA from 1 species